UACAGAGGGUGCGAACGUUGCUCGGAAUUACUGGGCGUAAAGCGCGUGUAGGCGGGACCGCAAGUCAGAUGUGAAAUCCCCGGGCUCAACCCGGGAACUGCAUCUGAAACUGCGGACCUUGAGUACUGGAGAGGGCGGCGGAAUUCCUGGUGUAGAGGUGAAAUUCGUAGAUAUCAGGAGGAACACCGGUGGCGAAGGCGGCCGCCUGGACAGUUACUGACGCUGAGACGCGAAAGCGUGGGGAGCAAACAGG
rnacentral:rRNA from 1 species